rnacentral:tRNA from 1 species
GAAGCUUAGUUGGUAAAGCACUGGUUUAGCAUACAAGGGUCGUGGGUUCGGAUCCCACC